rnacentral:rRNA from 1 species
UACGUAGGUCGCAAGCGUUGUCCGGAUUUACUGGGCGUAAAGAGCGCGCAGGCGGCUGGUCAAGUCCGAUGUGAAAUCUCCCGGCUCAACUGGGAAACUGCAUCGGAAACUGAUCGGCUUGAAGAUGGGAGAGGGUAGUGGAAUUCCCGGUGUAGUGGUGAAAUGCGUAGAUAUCGGGAGGAACACCAGUGGCGAAGGCGACUACCUGGCCCAUUCUUGACGCUGAGGCGCGAAAGCUAGGGGGAGCGAACGGG